UUCAGUUUCACUCUUUUCUCUCAUAUUGACUCAUAUUUGUGAUCUUUGUGUGUUUGUAAAGAUCUUCUGAAUAAAGUGACUCCAGAUCUCCAUCAUUCAGAUCAGCUCUGGUGGCUUUUGGCUGUUUUCAUCAUUGUUCUUCUCAUCUUCUUCUUGAUCUGUUUGAUGAAGCGUAAAAGGAUCUUCAGAUGUUUUCAGACUGAACAGUGGUUCAUCUGUCAGCGUGAGGAUGAUUCAGAAAACAGAGAUCCUGAAUCUGGUGUCCAAAUGAAGCUCCGAUCUGAUGCUCCUGAUUCACUGAAUCAGUCUGAAUCUGAACAGUUAAACGGCUCCUUGUCCAGAGGAUGAUCAGUGUGAAUCGCUCAGGUCAUUAUUUACUCAAGCUCAGAGCUGAACGUCACUGAUCUUUGACAUGAUGAUGAAGGGAGUUUCUGUUCAUGCUGAGCUUCUCAACUCUUAUUUAUUCUCCUUCAUCCGCUUCUGUAAUAGAAAUAAAUACAUGAGAUGGAAAACACUGAAAAUGAUCUUGGGAUCCAAUUCAACCAUCUUUGAAAAGUGACCAAACGACUGUUUUGUGUUUUAUUUCUUUUGUUCAUAAUUUAUCUUUUUAAUCAUUAUUUCAUUCAUUAUCAUUCAGUCGUUUACUAAUUUGUUCAAUCAAUCAUUUAUUAAUUCAUAUUAUUGUAUUAUAUCUUAGAUUAUUUAUUCUUCUUGCUCUUGCACUGCUUGCUAAGUUGUUUAACUUAUCGUUGUUUCAUUUAAUGUUUGUCUUCACGAAUGAGACGAGGGAGAAUGUGUCCAGGGUUUUAUGGGACGUCUUGUUAUGGAGUUUUGUCAUAAUAACUCUUGCUGUUGGUUGCACUGAUCAGAUGAAGUCUGACCGAAACAAUAAGGCUUCUGUUUGUAGAAGAACUUUGCUGAACGCUAAUUGGCUGUAAG